GCCUGAGUGACGAAAUUGGUAGACGUAGUGGAUUCAAAAUCCGCCGAUGAAUAAUCGUGUCGGUUCGAGUCCGACCUCAGGCA
rnacentral:tRNA from 1 species